AAACUCCUCAGGCUUGUAAGCUCUAAAUGAACAUAAAGCUGAAGUCCCUGCCAGGGGUACGUCCAGGCUUCCAGCCGAAGACUAACAUUGAUCAGUCAAGGGUACAAAACACAGAGAGCAGGAUGCUGUUACUAUAGUGAGCACUGCAAAAAUCAAUGCGUUUGAAAUGGGAAUCAAUCUAUUGAGGCUGGGAGAGUGCAAUGAGACCUUGUGUUCUGGUUACAGCCCUGUCUGCGGGAACUGGGGGCACCCAGUCAGCUAAACUGGGAGCGGGGGGAAGGAGCACUCAGCAAUGUGUUACAUUAAUGUUGUCUAGAGGAAACGAAGCAUCGAUGCAGAAGUCUACGUUGUGAAUAAGAUAAGCUCUUUGCCUUAAAACUGUUUAUUUAGAUUACUAGGGGAAUUUUUAAUGUAAACUUUAGCAGUAUUCUCUAUUGAAAAGUAUGUAUUAAGCAGAAAGUAAUCUUUAACUUUUAGCUCCUCUGGUGGAACUUAAGUCAAUCCAAGAAUGCUGUGAAGAAGGUAGAAGCAGCCAUCACACUCAAUGUACCUUCAUGAUAUAUCUGUCUACGCAGCACACAGGGUUAUUGUUGGCCUACCCUACAACACAUGGACUAGGAACAAAGGCCAAGUGACAAAGCCAAGCAUCAGGAGCUCACUUGAAAUGAGAGUGGGAGGGACGACAAACAACCCACAAACCAACAAGAAUGACAACAACAAACUAUCUGAAGGAAGAAAUGCAAUAAAAAUUGGGUAAAAUUAUCCCUUGAGUGAUGUUGGAUGAAAUCCAGAUUAAAGUCACUGAACAGCAGAGCUGUUCCAAUUUAUGCCACUGUAACAUCAAAAUACUUCCUUCGCCUCUAUAAACAUCCUUUAAUUCUUUCUGGAAAAUGGAAGAGUACCGCAUGUGACAAGUGUUCUAAAGCAGCAUGCUGAGCACCAAAUGCGAACUAUAAUUCAUAAUUCAUGCUCAAUUAAUCAUAAUUUAUAAGGAAUAGCUCUGUUAAUGCUUCUGCUAACUACCUAACCUAUUUUGAGAGAUGCAGCCAGAAUUUUAGUUGUUGUGACUCGCUGUUGUGAGUGACAGACUAUGUAUACCUUGGCAGCUGUCAAAGACAACAGCCUUCCCUCAAAGAAGAGAAAAAGUGAAGCAAUUCUCAGAAUUGCAAAAGGCUAAGAAAAGCUCUGAACGAAAAGCAGAAAUGAAAGUACGUGAGGGUGGAGAACAUAAUCUUUUGUUGUGUAAAUCCCACUGAAAACCAGUGGAAGGAACCCUACGUAAUCCAGAGCUUCGGGUCAAGCUAAGACUUAAAUAACCUUAAUUUAGCAAAUGAGCAAUUUCCAAGUGACACAACUGAAAGAGGAGAGGUCUGGUAUCUCCAGAUCUUGUUCUGGAGUUAAUUUUACAGGACAGCCAGAUAGAAAAUUCUCUUGAUUUAGGGGAAGAAGCUUUACCUUCCUGCAUUGGUAUUUUUGACUAUCAGAAGAAAGAGUUAAAGACAGACUGGCUCAUUGCUCUACUCGAGUCAGAUUCUGACAAAGAGAAAACUGAAGCUAGAAUCAUUAAGGCCACGUGCACAGUUGAUGAACCUGGAAUCAACUUCUCUGUCCCAGGACGCAUUUAUGGAUAUUAGAAAGAUGGACUUUACAGUUCACUAUUUCUUAGCUGUAUAAGCUGGCAAGAACAACAGUGACUCAACGAAACCCUGAAAUCUUCUGGUGUAAUUUGUGUCAGGCAUCUAUCACAGAUACGUGGAGAUAUUCCAGAACUGCCCAGCAUCUAUUCAAAUAAAUGUUUCUGCUAGAAAACUUAUAUAUAAUGU
rnacentral:lncRNA from 1 species